rnacentral:misc_RNA from 1 species
AACGCACCUUGCGCCCCUUGGUAUUCCGAGGGGCAUGCCUGUUUGAGUGUCUUGAAGUCAUCAUCCCCUCCCGUUUCGUGCGGGUGGGGCUGGAGUUGGGGGCGUGCGAUUGCCAGGCAAUCGCUCCCCUUAAAUGCGUCGGUUGGACCUGUGGGUCGGACUCGACAGGGCGUUGUACCAUCCUCGCUCCGACGAGAAGUUCCCCUUCCGCGUCCCUCCAUGACCUGCCGGCGAGUGGCGGUCAAAGACGAACUGAAAUCUGACCUCAAAUCAGGUAGGACUACCCGCUGAACUUAA